rnacentral:rRNA from 1 species
ACGUAGGUGGCAAGCGUUGUCCGGAAUUAUUGGGCGUAAAGGGCGCGUAGGCGGCCUGGUAAGUCAGAUGUGAAACCCCCGGGCUUAACUUGGGGCAUGCAUUUGAAACUGCUGGGCUUGAGUGCAGGAGAGGUAAGUGGAAUUCCUAGUGUAGCGGUGAAAUGCGUAGAUAUUAGGAGGAACACCAGUGGCGAAGGCGACUUACUGGACUGUAACUGACGCUGAGGCGCGAAAGCGUGGGGAGCAAACAG